AUACUCCAAUCUAGCUAGAGAGCUCAAGAGCAAGAAACCUGAUUCACAUGAGUAAAACUUCUCUCUCAUCCAGUGAUAUUGCCUUGGGUGGUAUCUUGCCCCUGUGUUAACAGAGUGAAUACAAAGACUUUCAAAAUCUUUGUGUUUCAAAAACACAAAGGAUUUAAAAAUCCUGCCAACGCAACUUGAAACCAAGUUAAGGAUUUUCUUUGGGCCACGAGUGAAAGACGUGAAACAAUUUCUUUCCUGAGAUGAUGACCUACCCAAGAGAUUGCUGUAGAAAAUUACCUAUAAUGAAUGAAAAUCACAAAGAAUCUCAACCCAAAGUAGACCACGUGGACAACAACUUCGCAACUUGCCUUCUCAAGCUCUUAGUGAUGGUUCUUAUUUUUUAUGUAUUCCGGGAGGAAUGUUUUGGAAAUAAGAAAAGAAAAGGAAAUGAUCAACUUAAGGAAAAUGAUCAACUUGGGGAGGAAAAUGAUCAACUGAAGGAAAAUGAAGUCUUAUAUUACUCUUUUUAUUUUUCAGAUCAACUUGGGGAGGAAAAUGAUCAACUUAGGAAGGAAAAUG
rnacentral:lncRNA from 9 species